AGCAGCCACCCUUUAAAGAAAGCGUAAUAGCUCACUGGACUAGUGGUUCUGCGCCGAAAAUGUAACGGGGCUUAAGAUACGUACCGAAGCUAUGGACUUUUUAAAGUGGUAGGAGAGCAUUGUGUUUACCGAUGAAGGUGUACCGCGAGGAGCACUGGAGGUCCCACAAGAGCUGAUGAUGGCAUGAGUAGCGAUAAGGAAUGUGAGAAUCAUUCCCGCCGAAAAUCUAAGGGUUCCUGGGCCAGGUGACUCCGCCCAGGGUUAGUCGGAUCCUAAGGUGAGGCCGAAAGGCGUAAUCGAUGGAUAACAGGUUAAUAUUCCUGUACUUAGUAUGUCUCGCUUGACUUGAUGGAGUGACGGAGAAAGGUAGCAAAGCCACCUGUUGGAUGGUGGUUUAAGCACGUAGGGGGACUGGAUAGGUAAAUCCGUCUGGUUGUUAACCCUGAGAUGCGAAUACGAGGCGUAAGCCGAAGUUUGUGAUCCUCUGCUUCCCAGAAAAACUUCGCAAGGAGAGAUAUAUUAAUCCGUACCGUAAACCGACACAGGUAGUCGAGGAGAGAAUCCUAAGGUGCUCGAGUGAGUCGUGGCUAAGGAACUAGGCAAAAUGGCCCUGUAACUUCGGGAGAAGGGGCGCCUCUGGUGACAGAGGCCGCAGUGAAGAGGCCCAGGCGACUGUUUAACAAAAACACAUGGCUUUGCGAAGUUUAACGACUAAGUAUAAGGCCUGACACCUGCCCGGUGCUGGAAGGUUAAGAGGGGGAGUUAUCGCAAGAGAAGCUCUGAAUCGAAGCCCCAGUAAACGGCGGCCGUAACAAUAACGGUCCUAAGGUAGCGAAAUUCCUUGUCGGGUA
rnacentral:rRNA from 1 species